rnacentral:rRNA from 1 species
GUCUUCGAGUCGUUGAUUUCACACUGCCGAGAAAAGCCUCUAGAUAGAAAAUAGGUGCCCGUACCGCAAACCGACACAGGUAGUCAAGAUGAGAAUUCUAAGGUGAGCGAGCGAACUCUCGUUAAGGAACUCGGCAAAAUGACCCCGUAACUUCGGGAGAAGGGGUGCUCUUUAGGGUUAACGCCCAGAAGAGCCGCAGUGAAUAGGCCCAAGCGACUGUUUAUCAAAAACACAGGUCUCUGCUAAACCGUAAGGUGAUGUAUAGGGGCUGACGCCUGCCCGGUGCUGGAAGGUUAAGAGGAGUGGUUAGCUUCUGCGAAGCUACGAAGCGAAGCCCCAGUAAACGGCGGCCGUAACUAUAACGGUCCUAAGGUAGCGAAAUUCCUUGUCGGGUAAGUUCCGACCCGCACGAAAGGCGUAACGAUUUGGGCACUGUCUCAACGAGAGACUCGGUGAAAUCAUAGUACCUGUGAAGAUGCAGGUUACCC